UUUCUGUAGCAAUACAGGGAGUGGGCGCACGGCGCACGGGUGAGUAACACGUGGGUAACCUGCCCUUGGAUGGGGAAUAACCCCGCGAAAGCGGGGCUAAUACCGCAUAACAUUAUCGAAACUUUGGUUUUGAUACUCAAAGCCUGCAAAGGCGUCCGAGGAGUGGCCCGCGUACGAUUAGCUAGUUGGCGAGGUAAUGGCUCACCAAGGCUUUGAUCGUUAGCCGGUCUGAGAGGAUGGCCGGCCACACUGGAACUGAGACACGGUCCAGACUCCUACGGGAGGCAGCAGUGGGGAAUAUUGCGCAAUGGGCGAAAGCCUGACGCAGCGACGCCGCGUGGGGGAUGACGCUUUUCGGAGUGUAAACCCCUUUCGAUCGGGACGAAUGCCUCGCAAGAGGAGUGACGGUACCGGUAGAAGAAGCCCCGGCUAACUACGUGCCAGCAGCCGCGGUAAUACGUAGGGGGCCAGCGUUGCUCGGAAUAACUGGGCGUAAAGGGUUCGUAGGCGGUGCGGCAAGUUGGGAGUGAAAUCUCUGGGCUUAACCCAGAGACUGCUUUCAAAACUGCCGUGCUAGAGUGCGGGAGAGGCCAGUGGAAUUGCAGGUGUAGCGGUGAAAUGCGUAGAUAUCUGCAGGAACACCCGUGGCGAAGGCGGCUGGCUGGACCGCAACUGACGCUGAGGAACGAAAGCUAGGGGAGCAAACAGGAUUAGAUACCCUGGUAGUCCUAGCCCUAAACGAUCAGAACUUGGGGUGCAUCCCGUUGGGGGUGCGUCUCGUAGCUAACGCGUUAAGUUCUGCGCCUGGGGAGUACGGUCGCAAGACUGAAACUC
rnacentral:rRNA from 1 species